UCAUCAACUUAAGUAUUGAAUAAUAAAAUUAUAUCGUCAUCUUCGUUGUAAAUCUGAAACUUUCAGACUAUGCGUCUCCCUCUCCAUCCCUCCCGGAUCCCGUCUAUCAUUUCCACUGAUAAUCCUUCCCUUUUAUUUCCGGCAAAGGCCGAAGGAUUGUGGCGGAGAUCUGCUGCUCAGGUCAAGGUGGAUCUCCGUGGGGUCGAAGGUGAGUUGCGCGGGAUCUCAAAACUCCAUGAAUGGAGUUUCUGGCACUGCUCUUCGGACGACGGUUCUUGAUGGCCUUAGCGUAGGAUCACGUCCAGACAUGGCCUUAGCGUAGGAUCACGUCCAGACAUGGCUGUCUUAGCACCCGCAGCUUGGGAUGCUUUGGAAUACUGGGUUGACCACGGCUACUUUUGAGUUCUUUUAGCAUCUCCUCUUUGAUCGGAUCCUUAUGGAGUGUAAGGUUCAAUCUAGCAAUAUAUCUUUUUCAUCAAAAUGUUUUUGUUGUUAGUCGUCUUCCGUAGAGUUGAUUCAACAUUUAUUUACUGUUUGUGAUUA